GGGGAUGUAGAUCAGUGGUAGAGUCCUUGCUUAGCAUGUGGGAGGCCCUGGAUCCAAUCCCCAGCACCCCCC
rnacentral:tRNA from 1 species